CCUACGGGAGGCAGCAGUGAGGAAUAUUGGUCAAUGGCCGAGAGGCUGAACCAGCCAAGUAGCGUGAAGGAUGACGGCCCUACGGGUUGUAAACUUCUUUUAUCAAGGAACAAAAUGAGGCACGUGUGCCUGUUCGUAGGUACUUGAUGAAUAAGCAUCGGCUAACUCCGUGCCAGCAGCCGCGGUAAUACGGAGGAUGCGAGCGUUAGCCGGAUUUAUUGGGUUUAAAGGGUGCGUAGAUGGGGUGUUAAGUCAGAGGUAAAAGUUUGGGGCUCAACCCCGUAGAGCCGUAGAAACUGCAUUUCUUGAGAAGGCGAGAGGCAAGUGGAAUGCGCAGUGUAGCGGUGAAAUGCGUAGAUAUUACGCAGAACUCCGAUGGCGAAGGCAGCUUACCGGCGCCAUACUGACGCUGAGGCACGAAAGCGUGGGUAUCGAACAGGAUUAGAUACCCUUGUAGUC
rnacentral:rRNA from 1 species